UACGGAGGGUGCAAGCGUUAUCCGGAUUUACUGGGUUUAAAGGGUGCGUAGGUGGGCAAAUAAGUCAGUGGUGAAAGCUCCGAGCUCAACUCGGAAACUGCCAUUGAUACUGUUUGUCUUGAAUAUAGUUGAGGUUGGCGGAAUGUGUCAUGUAGCGGUGAAAUGCUUAGAUAUGACACAGAACACCGAUUGCGAAGGCAGCUGGCUAAACUAUUAUUGACACUGAGGCACGAAAGCGUGGGGAUCAAACAGG
rnacentral:rRNA from 1 species